UAUUAAAAUUUAUUAUGGAUUUCUUAACAUAUAGCACAAGCAGCGAACAAUCUGUUUUACAGUGGGUGUGUUCUUUAAUUUUUGUGUUUUUGUUUUGUUUUUUGCUUUUAAUUUUAAUG